UAAGGAGGGCGCUAGCGAUACUCGGAAUUACUGGGCGUAAAGCGCACGUAGGCGGAUUAGUAAGUCAGAGGUGAAAUCCCGGGGCUCAACCUCGGAACUGCAUUUGAUACUGCUGGGCUCGAGUGCGGAAGAGGUGAGUGGAAUUCCUAGUGUAGAGGUGAAAUUCGUAGAGAUUAGGAAGAACAUCAGUGGCGAAGGCGGCUCACUGGUCCAGUACUGACGCUGAGGUGCGAAAGAGUGGGGAGCAAACAGG
rnacentral:rRNA from 1 species